rnacentral:rRNA from 1 species
UACGGGGGGGGUAAGCGUUGUUCGGAAUUACUGGGCGUAAAGGGCUCGUAGGCGGCCAACUAAGUCAUACGUGAAAUCCCUCAGCUUAACUGGGGAACUGCGUGUGAUACUGGAUGGCUUGGAUUUGGGAGAGGGAUGCGGAAUUCCAGGUGUAGCGGUGAAAUGCGUAGAUAUCUGGAGGAAUACCGGUGGCGAAGGCGGCAUCCUGGACCGACAUUGACGCUGAAAGCCGAAAGCUAGGGGAGCAAACGGG